rnacentral:rRNA from 3 species
CACCCCUUCCCAUCCCGAACAGGACCGUGAAACAACUUUGCGCCGAUGAUAGUGCUGCAACCAGUGUGAAAGUAGGUUAUCGUCAGGC